UUUAGUGACGAUAGCCUAGGAGAUACACCUGUACCCAUGCCGAACACAGAAGUUAAGCCCUAGAACGCCGGAAGUAGUUGGGGGUUGCCCCCUGUGAGAUAUGGUAGUCGCUUAGC
rnacentral:rRNA from 1 species